GACGAACGCUGGCGGCGUGCUUAACACAUGCAAGUCGAACGGAAAGGCCCCUUUGGGGGUACUCGAGUGGCGAACGGGUGAGUAACACGUGAGUAACCUGCCCUUGACUUCGGGAUAACUUCAGGAAACUGGGGCUAAUACCGGAUAGGAAUCCUUGCUGCAUGGUGGGGGUUGGAAAGCUUCGGCGGUUUUGGAUGGACUCGCGGCUUAUCAGCUUGUUGGUGGGGUAGUGGCUUACCAAGGCUUUGACGGGUAGCCGGCCUGAGAGGGCGACCGGCCACAUUGGGACUGAGAUACGGCCCAGACUCCUACGGGAGGCAGAAGUGGGGAAUAUUGAACAAUGGGCGGAAGCCUGAUGCAGCAACGCCGCGUGCGGGAUGACGGCCUUCGGGUUGUAAACCGCUUUCAGCAGGGGCGAAGCUUGUGGUGACGGUACCUGCAGAAGAAGCACCGGCUAACUACGUG
rnacentral:rRNA from 1 species